CCUACGGGUGGCAGCAGUGGGGAAUAUUGGUCAAUGGAGGAAACUCUGAACCAGCAACGCCGCGUGAAUGAUGAAGGUCUUCGGAUUGUAAAGUUCUUUUCUCAGGGAAGAAGAACGUGACGGUACCUUAGGAAUAAGCCUCGGCUAACUACGUGCCAGCAGCCGCGGUAAUACGUAGGAGGCGAGCGUUAUCCGGAAUGACUGGGCGUAAAGGUGGCGUAGGUGGUUUGACAAGUUGGUAGCGUAACUCCGAGGCUCAACCUCGGCACUACUACCAAAACUGUCGGACUUGAGUGCAGGAGGGGUAAGUGGAAUUGCUAGUGUAGCGGUGGAAUGCGCAGAUAGUAGGAGGAACACCGGUGGCGAAGGCGAAUUGCUGGACUGUAACUGACACUGAGGCACGAAAGCGUGGGGAGCAAACAGGAUUAGAGACCCUAGUAGUC
rnacentral:rRNA from 1 species